GACGAACGCUGGCGGCGUGCUUAACACAUGCAAGUCGAACGGUAAGGCCCCUCGGGGUACACGAGUGGCGAACGGGUGAGUAACACGUGGGUGAUCUGCCCUGCACUUCGGGGUAAGCCUGGGAAACUGGGUCUAAUACCGGAUAGGACCUCCGCCUGCAUGGGUGGGGGUGGAAAGCUUUUGCGGUGUGGGAUGGGCCCGCGGCCUAUCAGGUUGUUGGUGGGGUGAUGGCCUACCAAGGCGACGACGGGUAGCCGGCCUGAGAGGGUGACCGGCCACACUGGGACUGAGAUACGGCCCAGACUCCUACGGGAGGCAGCAGUGGGGAAUAUUGCACAAUGGGCGCAAGCCUGAUGCAGCGACGCCGCGUGAGGGAUGACGGCCUUCGGGUUGUAAACCUCUUUCAGCACCGACGAAGCGCAAGUGACGGUAGGUGCAGAAGAAGGACCGGCCAACUACGUGCCAGCCGCCGCCGUAA
rnacentral:rRNA from 1 species